rnacentral:rRNA from 1 species
GGAUUGGUGCCUUCGGGAACUCUGAGACAGGUGCUGCAUGGCUGUCGUCAGCUCGUGUUGUGAAAUGUUGGGUUAAGUCCCGCAACGAGCGCAACCCUUAUCCUUUGUUGCCAGCGGUUCGGCCGGGAACUCAAAGGAGACUGCCAGUGAUAAACUGGAGGAAGGUGGGGAUGACGUCAAGUCAUCAUGGCCCUUACGAGUAGGGCUACACACGUGCUACAAUGGCAUAUACAAAGAGAAGCGACCUCGCGAGAGCAAGCGGACCUCAUAAAGUAUGUCGUAGUCCGGAUUGGAGUCUGCAACUCGACUCCAUGAAGUCGGAAUCGCUAGUAAUCGUAGAUCAGAAUGCUACGGUGAAUACGUUCCCGGGCCUUGUACACACCGA